rnacentral:rRNA from 1 species
GAAGGAGGUGCGGAGUCGCGCGUUGUCAUUUAUAAAUUAACUGUUAGAGUUCUCCGAUUUGUCGCAAAGCUUGACGAUGGCAGCGAGCGUCAAGUUGCCGAGCAUGUUGAGUUUGAGGUUAACAUGAAACAUUUUACGGUUGAAAAAAUGGUAGAACUCAUUCGGUCCAAAAUUGUUUGGGGAAGUGGGCAAGAGGUCCACAUUUUGUGCCAAGACAAGCACUUUGAGUCAGUUGAGAGGAUUGAUAAUUAUUGGAAGCUACUGACAGCAUUUCUUGAGAGAUGGUAAGAAAAAGAAUUGCUA